CAUAUCAAUAAGCGGAGGAAAAGAAACCAACAGGGAUUGCCUUAGUAACGGCGAGUGAAGCGGCAACAGCUCAAAUUUGAAAGCUGGCUCCUUUGGAGUCCGCGUUGUAAUUUGUAGAGGAUGAUUCGGCAAGGGCUCCCGCCUAAGUCUCCUGGAACGGAGCGUCAUAGAGGGUGAGAAUCCCGUAUGCGGUGGGCUGCCUAAGCCAUGUGAAUCUCCUUCGACGAGUCGAGUUGUUUGGGAAUGCAGCUCUAAAUGGGAGGUAAAUUUCUUCUAAAGCUAAAUACCGGCCAGAGACCGAUAGCGCACAAGUAGAGUGAUCGAAAGAUGAAAAGCACUUUGGAAAGAGAGUUAAAAAGUACGUGAAAUUGUUGAAAGGGAAGCGCUUGCAGCCAGACUUGUCCGCAGUUGCUCAGCCGGUCUCCUGACCGGUGUACUCUUCUGCGGCCAGGCCAGCAUCGGUUCGGGCGGUCGGAUAAAGACCUCGGGAAUGUAGCUCCUCUCGGGGAGUGUUAUAGCCCGGGGUGGAAUGCGGCCAGCCUGGACUGAGGAUCUCGCUUCGGCUAGGAUGCUGGCGUAAUGGCUGUAAGCGGCCCGUCUUGAAACACGGACCAAGGAGUCUAACAUCUAUGCGAGUGUUUGGGUGUCAAACCCAUGCGCGUAAUGAAAGUGAACGGAGGUGGGAACCCUCACGGGUGCACCAUCGACCGAUCCUGAUGUCUUCGGAUGGAUUUGAGUAAGAGCAUAGCUGUUGGGACCCGAAAGAUGGUGAACUAUGCCUGAAUAGGGUGAAGCCAGAGGAAACUCUGGUGGAGGCUCGCAGCGGUUCUGACGUGCAAAUCGAUCGUCAAAUUUGGGUAUAGGGGCGAAAGACUAAUCGAACCAUCUAGUAGCU
rnacentral:rRNA from 1 species